GAUCAGAUUGAUCUAGAAGGCUCGGGAAUGCUUCGAGCUCCCUCUGACCCGCGACGCGUCCCGACGAUCCUAGAAGAAGACCCGGUCGGAACUCCUCCGUCCGGCCAUCUCCAGGCAGAGAACCACCAGCUUUCAAUUCCUCUUCUCAACGUCAACACGCCCAUGGUGGUGGAUUAUACAUGCACGGCUCGUGGGGAGAGAUUCGAAGCUAGGAAACUUGAAGCUUUUCCGGCGACUCCGGCAUCGUUUGGGUUUUCUGAGGUAUGAAACGUACUCCUCUCGUCGAGUUAUACGUCUGGGUAUAAUUAGUUUUGGAUUUGGUCGAGUUUAAUGAUUUUCGAUUUUGGGUUGGUUUCGGCUCCGCCAUGAUUUCGACGCCGGCGGCUGUUCUAGCUCUUCUGGGUUCGUUUUCCGUCUUGCCUGCACCUGUAGACGUGUCAACCUCGACUAUAGCUGGAUGUUCGAAGCUGCUGGGUUGGUGUACUCUGGUUCCUCCGUUUGUUCAUCGUCGAAAUUCCGGGAAGUACUGUGUCUUGAAAUUGAGCCUAGGUGAGCUACGUUAUCUAUCUUUAGCCUUGGAGAAUUUUGGUUGCUGUUGCCGGAUGGGUGUUGUUAUGCAUGGAGUUUUGGUUUGAAAGUAAAGAACAGGGAGAAGUUAUUGGAGAGGUGAAAGUGUAAAGAUUAAGAAAAUGGUUAUUAAUCGGAAUUGAAGUAGUGAUUUGGUUUGCAAUGAUUUUGGUUGAUGAAUGAAAUUGUCGAUGGUACUAGUCAGUGGCGGAGCCAGGUUUCGAUUUAAGGUGGGGCACUCACAAAAUAUCAAAACUUAAUUACAAAAAAAAAAAAAAAAAAAACUAAAGUGAUAUACAUCUUGUAAAUUGUCUAAGCAAUAACAUAACUAUAUUAAUUUUAUAAUUCAAAAGUAGAACCAUAGCACUACAUACGUAAUAUAUAAUUAACUACAUAUGUAAUACAUAAUUAUAUAUAAUCCCACAUGUUCAAGCCAAACAAGAAAAGGAAAAAAAAAAGACCCACAAAGCUUACAACAAGAAACAUCGAACCCUUGACCAUAUUGUUAUGGAUUCAAUAGGACAACCACUACACCAGAGCAGCUUUGUUACAAUGUGGAGAAGCUAAUAUAUAUUUGUACUAAAACUCUAGUGGGUCACAGGACCCACUAGGCCACUAUGUGGCUCCGCCCCUGGUACUAGUUCUGGGUUUCGGGUUUUGGUACAACUGCAGAGUUAAGUGGGUGUCCUUAGUAGUUUUGGACACACUUCAUUUGAAUUGGAAAGUUGUUGGGUGUCCAUAGUAAAUUCAAUGAAAUUACUAUGUGACGUGAUUGUGAAGAAAAACAGAAAUUAAAUGUUAAAAGGCAUAUAAAUUGGUCAGUAUUCCAAUUUUAAGUGAGUGAAAUGUUCGGUAAUUGGGCUAAUUAUUGAAUUUGGUCAAACUUUGGUCAAUCCUGGUCAAACCAAGAAAGUGGGUUGGACGAUUAGAUAAUCGUCGCGAUUUUAAUUAAGUGUUUAACGGACCAUUAACGAUUAUUAUGUCGGAAUCUAGGACUCCAGUUACCCGAGGAACGGAAGGUUCGUGAAUUUCGGACGACUUCGGAAUCCAGGUAGGGGAUUCGGGGCCUUUCUCGGUUAGUAGUUUUCCCGUUUUAUAUAAAGUGAAGCAUGAUGCAUGUUAAAUUAUAUGGUAUGGUUAUGUUUAAAUGCAAUGCAUACUAACCAUUCCGUGAGAGAUAUCGUUGAUGGCUUGAGAGCGAAGGGUGGCUCUGACUUCCUUGGGUUCGAUCCCCAAAACCUCCGGAGGGUUAGCUACACCGGUCGGACGGUGCGCGAUCGUAAUGACGACCCGAUUCCGUGUGUGUAGCUAGGUAGCGGACGCUCUCGCUACGCUUACCUGGUUAUGAAUUGAUUUGAGUGUGGAUGCAGGUACUGUGCACUGGUGACGGGAUUGAAGGACGGAGCGGGUGAGCGGAGUCAACUUCGAUAAAUAGUUGUAAUGGGAACAGUUUGGGGCGUUACAACCAUAGUUUGGCGAAACUUAUUCAUUGCAGUUGCAGCACGAGGAACUCCACCUGAUUUAUCAGCAUGAGACAUUAUUUCAUUGAAGUCCCCCGCCAUAAGCCAAGGCAAAGAGCAGUUUUAUUGUGCUAGGGUUUCAAUCAUGGACCAAGUUUGAUUGCGUUCAGUCCUUGACGCAACACCAUAAAUCCCUGUGAAGCGCCAAGAGGCAGGAGCUCCACUUUCACACACUUCUACAUCAAUAUGAUUUGGAGAAGAAGAACGAAAAUUCCCAUGCACUUCAGGACCCCAGAGAAGAGCUAGGCCCCGAGAAUCCUUUUGCUUUGGAAAACAGAAGUUUCCAACAAAGCCUACACGACCAGUGAUGGUGUCAAUCAGUUUCUGAGAGAAAGAUCAAUUGAGGACGUUUUGCUUGAACCAUAUCAAUAAGUGCCCUUUGUGUUUCUUGAUUAACAAUCCCUCGACAAUUCCAAACGAGGAUGUUGCCCUGCCACAUGAUCGACGACAAAGAGUUGGUAUGCACGGAGGCUUGGAGGCGUCGCACAGAGGUUGACGGCGCUUAGGGUUUUCCUAUGAGAAAUGAAUAUAUGGCCAAAGAAUCCAAAGAAAAAUAAAUAUUACGAAAAAGUCGGGUUUUGCUUCCAACUGGAUCAAUAUGAUUAUGAGGUGUGUUACCUCAGUGAGUUAUGCUAUCUUAGUGAAUGGUGAGGCUACUACUACUGUGAAGCCAACAAGGGGUAUAAGGCAGGGAGAUCCUCUCUCACCAUACUUGUUUAUUCUAUGUGCUGAAGGAUUAUCUGCUUUGAUUUCUCAAGCUGUUCAUUCUGGAUCUAUCCAAGGGUUAAGGAUGUGUCCACAAGCUCCUACCUUGCAUCAUCUCUUUUUGCAGACGACAGUUUAUUAUUUGGUUCAGCUACUCCUGAAGAAUGUUAUGCUUUUAGAGAGAUUCUAAACACUUAUGAAAGAGCUUCUGGUCAGCAGGUAAACUUUCAAAAAAGCUCUGUUGUCUAACAUCUCGUAUCACCUCCAGCGAUACCAAGAUUCCAAAAGUGGUCCCACCACCCAACAAUCAAAUUCCAAGUUCAACCCAUAAGGGGUUUGACUCAAAAUAUAACUUAGAACUCUGGUCAAACUAUGACCUGAAAUACUUCCUUAGUCAGCUGGGAAAACCCACAUCCUUAGAGUUACUCUUACUACUCUUAUAAAAUCUCAACCAUUCCAUCUAUCAAUUGCU